rnacentral:tRNA from 1 species
GGGGCCUUAGCUCAGCUGGGAGAGCGUCUGCUUUGCACGCAGGAGGUCAGCGGUUCGAUCCCGCUAGGCUCCA